rnacentral:rRNA from 1 species
GCAGAACGCGAAGAACCUUACCUGGGCUAGAAAGCGUAAGAACCUUGGUGAAAACUGAGGGUGCCCUUCGGGAACGUUACGAUUAGGUGCUGCAUGGCUGUCGUCAGCUCGUGUCGUNGAGAUGUUGGGUUAAGUCCCGCAACGAGCACAACCCCUGUGAUCUGUUGCUAACCGGCUUGUCCGGAGCACUCUGGUCAGACUGCCCUGUGAAACGGGGAGGAAGGUGGGGAUGACGUCAAGUCAGCAUGGCCCUUACGCCCAGGGCUGCACACGUACUACAAUGCUCAAGUACAGAACGAGCCGAAACCGCGAGGUGGAAGGAAAUCCCUAAAACUGAGCCCAAUUCGGAUCGCAGGCUGCAACUCGCCUGCGUGAAGCCGGAAAUCGCUAGUAAUGGCGCAUCAGCUACGGCGCCGUGAAUACGUU